rnacentral:rRNA from 1 species
UUUCCUACGGGGCGCAGCAGCGAGGAAUAUUGGUCAAUGGGAGAGAUCCUGAACCAGCCAAGCCGCGUGAGGGAAGACGGCCCUAUGGGUUGUAAACCUCUUUUGUCGGAGAACAAAACCCGGGACGUGUCCCGGACUGCGUGUAUCCGAAGAAAAAGCAUCGGCUAACUCCGUGCCAGCAGCCGCGGUAAUACGGAGGAUGCAAGCGUUAUCCGGAUUUAUUGGGCGUAAAGGGCUCGUAGGCGGUUCGUCGCGUCCGGUGUGAAAGUCCAUCGCUUAACGGUGGAUCCGCGCCGGGUACGGGG